rnacentral:rRNA from 1 species
AUUGAACACUGGCGGCAUGCUUUACACAUGCAAGUCGAACGGUAACAGGGUGCUUGCACCGCUGACGAGUGGCGAACGGGUGAGUAAUGCGUCGGAACGUGCCGAGUAGUGGGGGAUAACGCAGCGAAAGUUGUGCUAAUACCGCAUACGUACUGAGGUAGAAAGUGGGGGACCUUCGGGCCUCACGCUAUUCGAGCGGCCGACGUCUGAUUAGCUAGUAGGUGAGGUAAAGGCUCACCUAGGCGACGAUCAGUAGCGGGUCUGAGAGGAUGAUCCGCCACACUGGGACUGAGACACGGCCCAGACUCCUACGGGAGGCAGCAGUGGGGAAUUUUGGACAAUGGGCGAAAGCCUGAUCCAGCCAUGCCGCGUGUCUGAAGAAGGCCUUCGGGUUGUAAAGGACUUUUGUCAGGGAGGAAAUCCCUAGUGCUAAUAACACUGGGGGAUGACAGUACCUGAAGAAUAAGCACCGGCUAACUGCGUGCCAGCCGCCGCAGUAA